rnacentral:rRNA from 1 species
CCGGCAUCGAUGAAGAACGCAGCGAAAUGCGAUAAGUAAUGUGAAUUGCAGAAUUCCGUGAAUCAUCGAAUCUUUGAACGCACAUUGCGCCCCCUGGUAUUCCGGGGGGCAUGCCUGUCCGAGCGUCAUU